rnacentral:rRNA from 1 species
AAACAUGUCUUUUUGAGUUAAUUUUAAAGUCUAGCCUGCCCACUGAAUAAUUUUUAAAUGGCCGCAGUAUUUUGACUGUGCAAAGGUAGCAUAAUCAUUAGUCUUUUAAUUGAAGGCUGGUAUGAAUGGUUGGACGAGGUAUAUACUGUUUCAUAUAAAUUUAUUAUAGAAUUUUAUAUUUUAGUAAAAAAGCUAAAAUUUUGUUAAAAGACGAGAAGACCCUAUAAAUCUUUAUAUUUAGUUUCAUAUAAGUUUUUUUGAUUAUUUUUACUUUUAUAAUAUUAAUUAUUUUGUUGGGGUGAUAUUAAAAUUUAAUUAACUUUUAAUUGUUUAAGAUCAUUAAUUUAUGAUUUGUUGAUCCAAUAGUAUUGAUUAUAAGAUUAAGUUACUUUAGGGAUAACAGCGUAAUUUUUUUUAAGAGUUCAUAUCGAUAAAAAAGUUUGCGACCUCGAUGUUGGAUUAAGGUAUAAUUUUGGGUGUAGCUGUUCAAAUAUUAAGUCUGUUCGACUUUUAAAUCCUUACAUGAUC